UCGGCGAUGGUGUAGUGGGUGAGCAUAUUGCCCUAUUACGGCAAAGACGGACGUUCAAUUCGUCCUCUCCGGC